rnacentral:rRNA from 1 species
UUUAGAGUUUGAUCCUGGCUCAGAACGAACGUUGGCGGCGUGCUUAACACAUGCAAGUCGAGCGCGAAGGAGACUUCGGUCUCCCGAGAGCGGCGCACGGGUGAGUAACACGUGAGUAACCUGCCCUGGGGCCUGGGAUAACCCUUCGAAAGGGGGGCUAAUACCGGAUACGACGGCGAGCUCGCAGGAGCUUGUCGGGAAAGCUGAGGCGCCCUGGGAUGGGCUCGCGGUCCAUUAGGUAGUUGGUAGGGUAACGGCCUCCCAAGCCUACGAUGGAUAGCCGGUCUGAGAGGACGAUCGGCCACACUGGAACUGAGACACGGUCCAGACUCCUACGGGAGGCAGCAGUGGGGAAUAUUGCGCAAUGGGCGAAAGCCUGACGCAGCAACGCCGCGUGAGUGAUGAAGGCCCUCGGGUCAGUAAAGCUCUGUCAGGAGGGACGAUCAUGACGG